rnacentral:rRNA from 1 species
AGAGUUUGAUCAUGGCUCAGAUUGAACGUUGGCGGCAGGCUUUAUACAUGCAAGUCGAACGGUAACAGCGGAAGCUUGCUUCCGGCUGACGAGUGGCGGACGGGUGAGUAACGCGUAGGAAUCUACCCUGAAGUGGGGGAUAACCCGGGGAAACUCGGGCUAAUACCGCAUAUGUCCUUCGGGACAAAGGGGGCCUCUCCAUGGAAGCUCCCGCUUUGGGAGGAGCCUGCGUCGGAUUAGCUUGUUGGUAGGGUAAUGGCCUACCAAGGCGACGAUCCGUAGCUGGUCUGAGAGGACGAUCAGCCACACUGGGACUGAGACACGGCCCACACUCCUACGGGAGGCAGCAGUGGGGAAUUUUCCGCAAUGGCCGCAAGCCUGACCGAACAACGCCGCGUGAGGGAUGGAGGCCUUUGGGCUGUAACCCUCUUU